rfam:Hordeum vulgare subsp. vulgare, WGS project CAJW01000000 data, contig: morex_contig_40031
AUUGUACUCCCUUUGUUCGGAAAUAUACUUGUCAUAGGAAUGGAUGUAUCUAGAUGUAUUUUAGUUCUAGGUAUAUUCAUUAUUACCAAUUUGUGUGACAAGUAAUUCCGGACGGAGGGAGUACUCA